GAUUCUAUUUUCAGUUAGAGAGUAUAUUUUUCUAGUUAUCUCUAACACAGUCUGAACCCACCUUAUCGGAAAUAAUCUUCAAAUAUAUUUGUUUUUUUUGGGUGCAACUGGAAUACUUAUUUGUGGGAUAAAUUUAUCUGGAAUGCAUCAUUCCAUUGAAUUCCAUGAAAUAUUUACCAGUUAGCAUAUUUAACUUCCACGUAGACUUUAUUUAUCCCAUUCAAAUGCAACUAUCGAUUUGUUAUUACAAGAUUCUAUUUUCGGAU
rnacentral:lncRNA from 1 species